AGAGUUUGAUCAUGGCUCAGAGCGAACGCUGGCGGCGUGCUUAACACAUGCAAGUCGAACGAAGGCUUCGGCCUUAGUGGCGGACGGGUGAGUAACGCGUGGGAAUCUACCUUACGGCGGGGAAUAACAGCGGGAAACUGCUGCUAAUACCGCAUACGCUCUACGGAGGAAAGGCUUCGGCCACCGUUUGAGGAUCCCGCGUCCGAUUAGCUAGUUGGUAGGGUAACGGCCUACCAAGGCGACGAUCGGUAGCUGGUCUGAGAGGAUGAUCAGCCACACUGGGACUGAGACACGGCCCAGACUCCUACGGGAGGCAGCAGUGGGGAAUAUUGGACAAUGGGGGAAACCCUGAUCCAGCGACGCCGCGUGAAUGAUGAAGGCCUUAGGGUUGUAAAGUUCUUUCGUCCGUGACGAUGAUGACAGUAGCGGAAGAAGAAGCUCCGGCUAACUUCGUGCCAGCAGCCGCGGUAAUACGAAGGGGGCUAGCGUUGCUCGGAAUUACUGGGCGUAAAGCGCACGUAGGCGGCGAUUCAAGUUAGAUGUGAAAGGCCUGGGCUCAACCCGGGAACUGCAUUUGAUACUGAAUUGCUAGAGUCCAAGAGAGGGUAGUGGAAUUCCCAGUGUAGAGGUGAAAUUCGUAGAUAUUGGGAAGAACACCAGUGGCGAAGGCGGCUACCUGGCUUGGUACUGACGCUCAGGUGCGAAAGCGUGGGGAGCGAACAGGAUUAGAUACCCUAGUAGUCC
rnacentral:rRNA from 1 species